UAGACAAUGAAAAGCCAAUGGAAAAUCUAUCUAAAGCUGAAAAUCGAUCCAUGCAGUCCUCAGAGCUUCCAUCAUCCACUAUAGCAGGAAUAGUCCUUGGAGUACUCCUUGGCUGUGCAAGCAUAGCCGUUUUGAUUUUUGUUGUGGUCAAAAAACGACUGUCACGGAGAACAACUCUGUAUACAAGAAUUUCAGAGGAGAGUCAUGUCCUUCAUGGAGCAGAUGUGUCAACAUAAAGUUCUGUUCAUAAUGGAAGUGUCAUCAUAAAGAGAAUUCUGUACAGUAUGGAUCAGAUAGUCGAGACUUCUGUACAGCAUUAAUAAACUAUAUCAUUAGGAAGAGAGUGAUCUACUGAAUGGGUAAAUUCUUACCUAAAAGCUGGUAGAUAUCUACCGCAUUAAUCAAAAUACAUGUAAUAAAUAUGCAAUUUCUGUGUGUAGAUAUUCUUGUUUGUCUAUACACAAAAUAUAAUAAGUAUACAAUAAUUAGCAAAUAUCCAAUAAGUCGCAUAUAAGCGUUUAUGUGCUUGGUAACUAGAAUAAAAUGUUUUAAUAAAAGUCA
rnacentral:sRNA from 1 species